AGAGUUUGAUCCUGGCUCAGGAUGAACGCUAGCGGCAGGCCUAAUACAUGCAAGUCGAACGGUAAAUAUUUAGCAAUAAAUAUGAGAGUGACGUACGGGUGCGUAACACGUAUGCAACCUACCCUUUACAGGCGGAUAGCUCGGGGAAACUCGAAUUAACCCGCCGUAAUAUAAUUGGAUGGCAUCAUCUGGUUAUUAAAUCUACGGAGGUAAAGGAUGGGCAUGCGUCUGAUUAGUUAGUUGGCGGGGUAACGGCCCACCAAGACGAUGAUCAGUAGGGGAACUGAGAGGUUGAUCCCCCACACUGGCACUGAGAUACGGGCCAGACUCCUACGGGAGGCAGCAGUAGGGAAUAUUGGUCAAUGGAUGGAAGUCUGAACCAGCCAUGCCGCGUGCAGGAAGAAGGCCUUCUGGGUUGUAAACUGCUUUUGCCAAGGGAUAAAAUGACCUUGCGAGGUUAAUUGAAGGUACCUGGUGAAUAAGCCACGGCUAACUACGUGCCAGCAGCCGCGGUAAUACGUAGGUGGCAAGCGUUGUCCGGAUUUAUUGGGUUUAAAGCGUGCGUAGGCGGCUUAUUAAGUCAGUGGUGAAAUACUCUAGCUCAACUAGAGGGGUGCCAUUGAUACUGAUGAGCUUGAGUACAGAUGAGGUAGGCGGAAUUGACGGUGUAGCGGUGAAAUGCUUAGAUAUCGUCAAGAACACCUAUAGCGAAGGCAGCUUACUAGGCUGUAACUGACGCUGAGGCACGAAAGUGUGGGGAUCAAACAGGAUUAGAUACCCUGGUAGUCCACACUGUAAACGUUGAUUACUCGCUGUGUGCGAUAUACAGUACGCGGCCAAGCGAAAGCGAUAAGUAAUCCACCUGGGGAGUACGCCGGCAACGGUGAAACUCAAAGGAAUUGACGGGGGUCCGCACAAGCGGUGGAGCAUGUGGUUUAAUUCGAUGAUACGCGAGGAACCUUACCUGGACUAGAAUGCCCUUGACCGAUCCAGAGAUGGAUUUUUCCGCAAGGACAAGGAGCAAGGUGCUGCAUGGCCGUCGUCAGCUCGUGCCGUGAGGUGUUGGGUUAAGUCCCGCGACGAGCGCAACCCCUAUUUUUAGUUGCCAACAGGUUAAGCUGGGGACUCUAAAAAGACUGCCCGCGCAAGCGGAGAGGAAGGAGGGGACGACGUCAGGUCAUCAUGGCCCUUACGUCCAGGGCUACACACGUGCUACAAUGGCGUAUACAGAGUGUUGCAAACCAGCGAUGGUACGCUAAUCGCUAAAAGCCGGUCUAAGUUCGGAUUGCAGUCUGCAACUCGACUGCAUGAAGCCGGAAUCGCUAGUAAUCGCGGAUCAGCUACGCCGCGGUGAAUACGUUCCCGGACCUUGUACACAC
rnacentral:rRNA from 1 species